CAAAUAACGGUCAGAGUUUCCUGUUUAAAUCUGCCCCUCUCUCUGCCCAGACUGCACUUAAGAGACACAAUCCGCAGCCACCCGUGUCUGUGCAGUUACCAGCCAGUCCCUGAGAACUUUCCCCUCAAACCCCUGGGGAAAUGAGGCUUUGGCUGUACCUCGUUCUCACUGCAGCAUGUCUGGAAGGUGUCCGGUCGCAGGCGCUGGUGGAGUCCGGAGGGGAUGUGAAAAAGCCCGGAGACUCUCUCCGCCUCUCCUGCAAAGCCUCCGGCUUCACCUUCAGCAGCUACUGGAUGAGCUGGGUCCGGCAGGCUCCCGGGAAGGGACUGGAGUGGAUCGCCUUAAUUCACGGUUCCAGCAUAUACUACAGUGACUCGGUAAAAGGGCGAUUCACCGUCUCCAGAGAUGACCCCAGCAGCCUGUUGUACCUGCAAAUGACCGGCCUGAAGCCCGAGGACACCGCCCGCUAUUACUGUGCGAGACACACAGUGCGGGGAACCCCGACAGGGCUCGUACAAAAACCCGAGCGGCAGAACCGCCCUUCCGCCAUGCGCCGCGCGGGGGCAGCACUUCCCCAGACAAUCCGGCCCUGGGCACGGGCACAGGAGCUGCAACCAGAGUGAAAAACAAAUCAGUCCUCAGGUUUCAGAGCUCAAUAUCCAUCUAUAGAAUCAUAGAAUCCUGGGACUGGAAGGGACCUGGAGAAGUCAUCUAGUCCCGUCCCCUGCACUCAUGGCAGGAUUCAGUGUUAUCUAGACACCAUCCCUGACAGGUGAGGGAGAUUCCACAAUCUCCCUGGGAAAUUUAUUCCAGUGCUUAACCAUCCUGAUAGUUAGGACGUUUUUCCUAAUGUCAAACUUCGCUUGAUGCAAUUUAAGUCCAUUGCUUCUUGUCCUAUCCUUAGAGGUUAAAGAGAAUAAUUUGUCGCUUUCCUCCUUGUACUUCUCCUUUUAUGUACUUUAAAACUGUUAUCAUGUCCCCCUCAGUCUUCUCAU